UGGGGAAUCUUGCACAAUGGGGGAAACCCUGAUGCAGCGACGCCGCGUGAACGAUGAAGCCCUUCGGGGUGUAAAGUUCUUUCGACAGGAACGAUAAUGACGGUACCUGGAGAAGAAGCUGCGGCUAACUACGUGCCAGCAGCCGCGAUAAUACGUAGGCAGCGAGCGUUGUUCGGAGUUACUGGGCGUAAAGACUGCGUAGGCGGCGAGCCAAGUUUGGUGUGAAAUCUCCCGGCUUAACCGGGAGGGUGCGCCGAAAACUGGUUGGCUGGAGUAUGGGAGAAGAAAGCGGAAUUCCGGGUGUAGCGGUGAAAUGCGUAGAUAUCAGGAGGAACACCUGCGGUUUAGACAGCUUUCUGGACCAAAACUGACGCUGAGGCACGAAAGCGUGGGUAGCAAAC
rnacentral:rRNA from 1 species